rnacentral:tRNA from 1 species
GCGGCCGUAGUCUAGCCUGGAAGGACUCGGCUGUACCGCCUGAAGCGGGCCUGCCACGCCCGUGACCCGGGUUCGAAUCCCGGCGGCCGCACCA